rnacentral:tRNA from 1 species
GCAGUGAUAUUCAAGUGGCUAGGGAGAUUGACUAGAAAUCAGUUGGGUUCUGCCCACAUUAGUUCGAAUCCUGCUCGUUGCG